GGGACUCUGCCUCUAGAGAUAGAGCGUUCCCCUUCGGGGGACAGAGUGACAGGUGGUGCAUGGUUGUCGUCAGCUCGUGUCGUGAGAUGUUGGGUUAAGUCCCGCAACGAGCGCAACCCUUGAUCUUAGUUGCCAGCAUUUAGUUGGGCACUCUAAGGUGACUGCCGGUGACAAACCGGAGGAAGGUGGGGAUGACGUCAAAUCAUCAUGCCCCUUAUGACCUGGGCUACACACGUGCUACAAUGGAUGGUACAAAGGGCUGCAAGACCGCGAGGUCAAGCCAAUCCCAUAAAACCAUUCUCAGUUCGGAUUGUAGGCUGCAACUCGCCUACAUGAAGCUGGAAUCGCUAGUAAUCGCGGAUCAGCAUGCCGCGGUGAAUACGUUCCCGGGCCUGUAACACACCGA
rnacentral:rRNA from 1 species